rnacentral:rRNA from 1 species
UACGAAGGGGGCUAGCGUUGCUCGGAAUCACUGGGCGUAAAGCGCACGUAGGCGGAUUGUUAAGUCAGGGGUGAAAUCCUGGAGCUCAACUCCAGAACUGCCUUUGAUACUGGCGAUCUCGAGUCCGGGAGAGGUGAGUGGAACUGCGAGUGUAGAGGUGAAAUUCGUAGAUAUUCGCAAGAACACCAGUGGCGAAGGCGGCUCACUGGCCCGGUACUGACGCUGAGGUGCGAAAGCUAGGGGAGCAAACAGG